ACACUCCUACGGGAGGCAGCAGUGGGGAAUAUUGCACAAUGGGCGCAAGCCUGAUGCAGCGACGCCGCGUGGGGGAUGAAGGCCUUCGGGUUGUAAACUCCUUUCGCUAGGGACGAAGCUUUUUUGUGACGGUACCUAGAUAAGAAGCACCGGCUAACUACGUGCCAGCAGCCGCGGUAAUACGUAGGGUGCGAGCGUUGUCCGGAAUUACUGGGCGUAAAGGGCUCGUAGGUGGUUUGUCGCGUCGUCUGUGAAAUUCUGGGGCUUAACUCCGGGCGUGCAGGCGAUACGGGCAUAACUUGAGUGCUGUAGGGGUAACUGGAAUUCCUGGUGUAGCGGUGAAAUGCGCAGAUAUCAGGAGGAACACCGAUGGCGAAGGCAGGUUACUGGGCAGUUACUGACGCUGAGGAGCGAAAGCAUGGGUAGCGAACAGGAUUAGAAACCCCGGUAGUCCCAUG
rnacentral:rRNA from 1 species